CAAAAACCAACCCACGCCAGACUGGGGCGCUUUCUGGGCCUGGAGGAAACACCCUUUUCCGUGGAGAUGUGCGCCUUGAGGAGUAAGCAGUCUGCGGAUAGGCUGUGCUGAGGAGGGCCUGGGCCCCUUCCAGGGCCGGGCGCAGGUAUUGUUUAUCUCAUAAGAAGACUUUUUAUUGUCAUCAUCAAUGGAAAUCCAACCUAAUUUGCCAUGAUUAGAAGAUGACCUGCAACUUAACCACUAGAAAAGAAACUUUCCAACUGUUAACAACACGAAGGGGCAGCAUCUGUUGGCCCAGUGUGGUACUGCAACAAAGUUCUAUAAGACAGUGGUGCAGAGAGGAGCAGCAGAAGAAUGCGGGAAAUUAAAGCUUCUGCAGGAAAUAGGAAAUUCUAAAGUCAGCAACCUGCUGCUAAAUUCUGGAAGUGAUUCAGAAACAGUGGUGAACCGUGCAUUGGAAUAUCCGUAAAUGUUCAAGUCAGUCUGAGAAAAGAUAUUCGUUGGAAGAUGGGAUAGAAAAUGCAUGUGGCUUCAUAGUGAAAACUGAUGGAAAUAUAAAAUACCUUUUAUUAGCAAUUCCCUUAACCAAACCUCUGGGAUGAGAUGCCUCUGCCCUUAGCAUUUACUAUUUGUUUAUUUUUCAAAUGUGCAUGGCACUGUUUUGGCAUUCAGUUUUGUUUAAAGUCAAGUUAUACAAACAAAGUGCUCCAGGAGCUCAUAAUCCAAAACACAAUUUAUAUUUUAAUUUCAUUUAAAGGCAACCUUAAGGGGAAAAUCAUGCCAUCACUUUAGUAAGAACAGAUUUUUAGGCUAAAAAAUGGAAUAAGACACUACACUUACCCGAAAAAAGAAAACAGAAGCCUGGAUGUUUGUAGAAAUAAUCCUAUAACAAAUCUCUUGAGUACUCUUUUGGUGUACCUUUGAACUCCAGUUAGAAAUAUACACAAUUCUUAAAAAAUACAGUCAUUGAGUUGUUGCUCAGUAAUUCUAAGCCAAACCAUUUGAGCUCUGGAAGAAUGGAGUUUUAAAGGCCAACCUCAGUCUGAACAAGGUUGAACAGUAUUCACAUCAUCUUCUCCACCAAUGACGGACUAGGAGAACAAAUGGAAAUGAUUGCCCAGGGAUCUGAAGUCCUGUGCUGUCAUUUUUCUAAAAUAUAUAAAUAAACACACUUUCUGGGUAA